GAGGCGAGGCCAUCUUGGGCAGCACAAAAGCACAGGCCAUGAUGCAAUUAUCAGCAGCUACGUGGUCAGGAGACGACUCAGAGCUGAACUUGGCGCCAGGUCAGGGAGCCUUGAGUUCCCCUAACUACUGUGUUCAGAGAUUAGGGGGAUGUAACAAUUACCUGAAAGGGGAGAUUAAAGCACCUCUCAAUGGUGCCCUUUGUUCUCGGCCACAUUUGAUGCCUUGCGGCCUUUUCAAACUACGUCGCGGAAGGCGCUUUAAAUGUUUGCCCCCACAGCCGGGGCGGCUUCAGUGAGCGGGGAGCGCCGGCUGCACCGGCAGAGCCGGCGGAGAUGGAGAAGAGGCCCUUCUCCGUGGAGUGGCUGGCACAGAGCAGCCGCGGCGGAGCCCAGCCCAUCGCCGCUGCCCUCGGAGGCACCUGCGACCCGGAGAGCCCGGCGGACCCUGGUGAGUCCCGCCUCCCCUCGCGGGCGGGUCGCGCGGCGGGACGGUUGGUGGCGGCCGUUAUGCGGACGGUCGCCGCGCGCGAGGCCGUCGGGGAACAGUUGUCGCACGUGCAGCCUUUGCCUGCGCCACAGUCCGCGCGACCCGACACCCCCAGAGGGAAGGUCCCUCCCCUGACGCCCCCGUCCUGUCCCCGCAGUCGCGCCGCGGGACCGGGAGGCCGUGCACCGUAGCAGCCCCGGGCUCGAAGCGGAGGCGGGCGGCGGCGCCGUACCCGGGCGGGCCCGCACGAAGUUCUCGGCCGCGCAGCUGCAGGAGCUGGAGCGGAUCUUCCGCGAGCAGCGCUACAUCGGCACCAGCGAGAAGCGGCGCUUGGCCGCCGUGCUGAACCUCUCCCAGAGCCAGAUAAAAACCUGGUUUCAGAAUCGUCGUAUGAAGUUUAAACGUCAGACUCAAGAUGCCAAGGUGGAAGCUCUUUUCUCAGGCUUAUUUUUGCCCUACCAUUGUUACCCAGAUAUUGCUAUAUCCAGCUGUUCUCAUGGGAUAGAUGUCAACAUCUCUUCUACCUCUGCUGUCUCCUUUCACCCAGCUGUACCAAGCACUGCCUUGUCAUUACCUUCUGGUCCAGCUCAGUCCCUUCAGCCGGUUUUGCCAAGUCCAGCUUUACUGUUGCCUCCCAGCCAAGGACUGUCUUGUUACUCUUCUGUAAUUCCAGCGAUUACUCUAACCGAUGACCACAAAAGACUGAGGUUCCAGCCAUAUCUUCCUUCCUGUUAAAAAUGCAAAGAUUACCUGUAAUCUGAAAAAGAACUCCCAAAUAUCCCUUAGAGUAAUUACUUAAUUUAUUUUGUGAUAUUAAACAGUUUGAUUAUCCUUUUUUUUAAUCGAAUUUUGGGGUUUAUGUUGAAGGAGAAAAUAAUUUACCUGUAUUACAGAAGUAAUACUGAGAGUGGAAGUGGAGGACUUGAAACUUCCAUUUAUUCCUGGAGUCUUCACUAUGUUGUCUUGAAACUUCUGUGAGUUUUCCAAUCCAAAGGUUUGUUUUCAGAAAACAACCUAAAAUCACAUGAUUAUUUCCACUGAAAAAAUCAAGUACUGUUUACCCUUAAAUUUACACAGCAAUUAUAUCAUGUAAUAGAAAAGUGUUUAAAACUUUU